rnacentral:rRNA from 1 species
UGAAAUAAUUUAAUGGCCGCAGUAUUUUGACUGUGCAAAGGUAGCAUAAUCAUUAGUUUCUUAAUUAGAAACUGGAAUGAAGGGUUUUACGAGAAAAUAACUGUCUCUUUAUAAUUUUUUUAAAAUUUUAUUUUUAAGUUAAAAAGCUUAAAUAUAUUUAAAAGACGAGAAGACCCUAUAGAGUUUAAUAAUUUUUUAAUAAAUAAUAAAAAUUGAAUUUUUUUUUAUUUUUAUAAGAAAAAUUAUUUAAUUGGGGUGAUUAAAAAAUGUAAAAAACUUUUUUUUUAUAUAAACAUUUAUUUAUGAAUUAUUGAUCCAUUUAUUAUGAUUAUAAGAUUAAAUUACCUUAGGGAUAACAGCGUUAUUUCUUUUAAGAGUUCAAAUCGAUAAAGAAGUUUGCGACCUCGAUGUUGGAUUAAAAUAUAGUUUUGAUGUAGCAGUUAAAAUACUAG